GAUGAACGCUGGCGGCGUGCUUAACACAUGCAAGUCGAACGAUGAAGGGAGCUUGCUCCUGGAUUAGUGGCGAACGGGUGAGUAACACGUGAGUAACCUGCCCUUGACUCUGGGAUAAGCCUGGGAAACUGGGUCUAAUACCGGAUAUGACCUUCCAUCGCAUGGUGGUUGGUGGAAAGCUUUUGUGGUUUUGGAUGGACUCGCGGCCUAUCAGCUUGUUGGUGGGGUAAUGGCCUACCAAGGCGACGACGGGUAGCCGGCCUGAGAGGGUGACCGGCCACACUGGGACUGAGACACGGCCCAGACUCCUACGGGAGGCAACAGUGGGGAAUAUUGCACAAUGGGCGCAAGCCUGAUGCAGCGACGCCGCGUGAGGGAUGACGGCCUUCGGGUUGUAAACCUCUUUCAGUAGGGAAGAAGCCGCAAGGUGACGGUACCUGCAGAAGAAGCGCCGGCUAACUACGUGCCAGCCGCCGCAGUAAAAC
rnacentral:rRNA from 1 species